UAAAGGUCUGGUCCCAGCCUUGUAGUCAACUUUGACUGAACUUACACAUGCAAGUAUCCGCACCCCGGUGAAAAUGCCCCUACGCCUCCCUCCCAGAGGAUGGGGAGCUGGUAUCAGGCACUUCCCCCGCCCAAGACACCUUGCUAUGCCACACCCCCAAGGGAGCUCAGCAGUGAUAAACAUUGAGUAUAAGCGUCAAGCUUGACUCAGUCACAGUCCAUAGAGCCGGUCAAUCUCGUGCCAGCCACCGCGGUUAUACGAAAGACUCAAGUUGACCACCUACGGCGUAAAGCGUGAUUAAAGAUAAAAUAUACUAGAGUUGAAUCGCAGCUUAGUUGUCGCACACUUCCGACGCCCUGAAAUCCAAUUACGAAAGUAACUCUACCUGACCAACUUGAACUCACGACCGCUAGGAAACAAACUGGGAUUAGAUACCCCACUAUGCCUAGCCUUAAACUCUGACUACCUACGCCCACAAUCCGCCAGGGAACUACGAGCCCAAGCUUAAAACCCAAAGGACUUGGCGGUGCCCCAAACCCACCUAGAGGAGCCUGUUCUAUAAUCGAUAACCCCCGCUUCACCUCACCACUCCUAGCCUAUCAGCCUAUAUACCACCGUCGCCAGCCCACCCUGUGAAGGACCCCGAGUAGGCAUAGCAACCUAUCAUUAAAACGUCAGGUCAAGGUGUAGCUAACGGAGUGAGAAGAAAUGGGCUACAUUUUCUAAACAGAAUAAACGGAAGGCCACUAUGAAACCUGGCCAGAAGGAGGAUUUAGCAGUAAAGGGGGACAAGAGCGCCCCCUUAAAGCCGGCCCUGGGGCGCGCACACACCGCCCGUCACCCUCUUUAAAACAACCCCCACACUUCAUAAUUCAAGUCAUUAACUAAGAAGAGGCAAGUCGUAACAUGGUAAGCACACCGGAAGGCGUGCUUGGAG
rnacentral:ncRNA from 1 species